GGGCGCACGAAAAAGGAGCUUUUCCCUUUAUUAACAGAAGCUUGCGUAUUUUUCGUGGUCACCUUGACAUGGUGGGGGUCGUUGGUUCGAGUCCAAUCGCGCCUACCA
rnacentral:tRNA from 1 species